AUUCUUAACCUAAGUGGUAAAAUCGUCUGUCUCGGAUGCAGGAUAUCGUGGGUUCGAACCCCAGCCGAGAAAUA